AGCAGUUCAGGAAUGCAAGAAGAAACGGCAACCAAAAAUGUCAUUUACAAACAAGUUUUGGCAGCAGGCUGCAUUAGGAAUGACUGAUGUAGUUGAUAUGAUGAAGUAUGUCCCUGAUGCUUCAAUCUCAAACCACCCAACUGUAUAUAAGGUAAUAUGUAAUAAUGUUGAUCUUAAUGUUAAACAGCACAAUAAUAAAUUGUCACUAAAUCAGUUUUAUAACAUGUAAUAUCUAAGUUUAAAUAUUACAUUUUUUGCUAUAGCUUUCAUGGGUUUCAUGGAGAGGUCUAUCCAUUUACACACUCCUCGAUGUAUUCAACUUUUAUUUAGAAAUUUCAUAUCGAGAAGAAGUGUUAGUUACAAAUAAAUGAAAAUAUUAAUCUCCAACUUUCUCACUGAACAAUCAAUGGAGGUUAUUCUUUGUUAUCUUCAAAAUGUUGGUUGUCAAGAGAUAUUUAUUUAUAGGGGAAAUUAUUGUUUUCA